GGGGCAUUAUGGGUAAUCAGCUGCCAUCUUCUGCACAGUUGUGGUCGGGCUUUAUUUCAGUGCAGGUGCGCGCGUGUCGGUCAUGAUGAUCACCUAAUGAGGCUCGGUCACGCGUUGAUAUGCAUUCUCAAUAAAUACAAAGUGAAAUAGGUGUUGUGGUUUAGUGCGUACGAGUGAAAGAUGCAAAUGUCAAUGAUGUGGUUUACCUGAACCCGAUGAUGAGUGAGUGAAGAGGAAGGUGACGAGGAUAGGGACGAUGUGUGGCGCUCCGGGGAGGUGCAAGUCGUCGCUGCCGUGGGGGGUGUGCUGACUGUGGAGGCGUGGGUCCCUACCAGGUGUACAGGCGUGGGGGCAGACAUGCUACACGGCAGUUGAGUCCUCCAGACACGUGAUGGUGCCGAUGGGGCAAGUUCAGCAUGUCCCAGGCACCAGCAGAGAGUGGUGGAAGUAAGCUGCAGCCACCACACAAUGUGGUGGUGUAUGUGGCAGGUGAGGGGGGUGGGCCGGUGGGGCCGGGGAGGGCACAGGGGCAACACCGCCCCAUGAUCACCCCUCACCCGGUCAAGCCCACCAACCCCCACAUGGUCAAUGGAUUCAGGCUCACCAACCCAUUGCACCAGCAGCAUCAGCACCAACAUCAUCAUCAGCAACAGCAGCAACCAAAUUACAACAUGCAGAUGAACGGCAACCUUCAUCAGCAGCAGCAGUUCAUUAUGAAUAAAAUGAAUGGGUUUGAUGGAAAUGGCAACUGCUUUCCAACAAGUCAUGCACCACAACAACUACAGUACCUGCCCGGUGGCAACUUUGUCACCACCGUUACUGUGCAUGCCUCUGAGCAGACACAGCAAGUACAGCAGCAGCAGCAGCAGCAGCAGCAUGCUGUGGCAGGAAACCAACAACAGCAACAGCAACAGCAGCAGCAACAACAGAAACAAAAGCAGCCACAGCAGCAGCAGCAGCAACCACAACAACAGCAACAUCCCCAGCAGCAGCUGCAUGGCCAAGUGAGUGUGAUGGGCGCAAUGAAUGGCUACAUCCAGAAUGGUGUCAUGAUGCAAGUAAACAAUGCCAACAACAACAACCCCAUGGUGAGCAACUCUCAAGUGAUGAAUAACCAGAUGGUGACUAGCAAUACCUGCAACAAUAGCACAAUGGGGAACAGUAAUGCAAAUAAUAACAAUAAUAGCAACAGUAUUGUAGUAGCUCGGGCCAAGAACUAGUUCCCGGUGUGACUCAGUGAGAUCAGAGACGGCUGAAUCUAGUUGUAGUAGUUUAAGUUCUGAUAGUCAAGUAGAACACACUCAGCAUCAACAUACACAACAGCAACAGCAACAACAGCAGCAGCAGCAGCAGCAGCAGCAACAACUACAACAACAACAACAACAACAACAACAACCACAGCAACCACCAAGCAAUCAAGUGAAUAAUUGUCAGCCGUAUCAAGUCAGUCUAAUGAAUAAUUCACAGUACAUCAAUAACCAUAUGCAGACUAUGAAUCCAAACAGUUAUAACUGUUACCCAAACUACAUGGCCUGUCAGUCAUCUGGUGGCAAUAACACAUGUGGAGCGAAUCAAACUGGAGUGUUCAACAAUCAAAACAUAGUGCAGGCCUCCUUCCAGCAAGUGAACACGGUGCAGCACGUGCAGAUGCAAGGGGGCAGCUGCAGAUAAUGCAGCAGCAGUACCAAUACGUUCAGGGGCAGAACAUGAAUGUGAUGCAGCAGGGGCAAGGCGUCAAUGUGAAUUGUGCACAAAGACCGAAUUCGAUGCCAGCUGGGGGUAUGUUUCAGGGACAAGGGACCAAUGCAAUGCAUGGACAAAUCAUGCAUGGACAAAAUACUUGUGUGAACAAUGCCAACACAAUGCAAGGUCAGGGUAUGAAUAUGGUGACAGGUCAGCCUGGAAUGAACUCUAUGCAAAGCCAUAACAUGAAUGUGAUGCAAGGACAAGGAAUGAACAGUGCCCAGCAACAGUGUGGAAAUGUGAAUGUGAUGGGUGGUGGUGGUGGUGGUGGUGGUGGAGCAGGAGGCGGAGGAGGAGGAGGAGGAGGAGGAGGAGGAGGAGGGGGCAGUACCAGCCUAGCUAUGGGUAUGGUGUGGUGGGACAGGGCAACCUGGUGAUGGGGGGGCAGAACACUGGUCACUGUGGCAGUAUGGUGGGGCUGCAGAACCAUCAUCCGCAACAACAACAGCAACAACAGCAGCAGCCGCAGCAGCAGCAGCAAAUGGUGGCUGGCAACAUAGGUCCAGAUCACCAGCAGCAGCAGCAGCAGCAGCAGCAGCAGCCCCUCAUGAUGGGGGGUGCCAUGCAGGGCAACAUGACCAUGGUUCCUGUGGGAGCCAAGAUGGAUGGCACCAGCAUGGGUCAUGUCAACAUGAUGGGCAUCCCAGGGGGCACUGUGGGUGUAGCCAACCCCAUGUGUGGUAACAUGCCUGUGGGAGCCCCGGCGGUGCCCGCGGCUGCAGACAACAAAAACUUCAUCCCUCUGGUUGUACCAUUUGGCUGGAGAAGAGUCGUCAAUGGCGGACAAGUCGUCUAUAUCAGGAAAUUAAGGUUCGCAGUCGGGCAGGCGGUAAUGAUGGCAUCACAUUUUGGAGGCAGCACUUAUUAUCUGGGACGCACGUGUUAUCAGGGGGAGGGCGAUGCCGUUUGACAGCUGUUGCUCUUGGUCCACCUCACCUCGGGUCGGGCCGCGGCAGGACGGGCCGUAUCGCCACUCACACCGCCUGUUGUACCGAGUCGAUGGCAGCUUGUGACGGCCCGCUGGCGAGUGACGAUCAGGUUGAAUGUUCUGGCGGUGAUUGUGCCUUACUGGCCGUACUGUCCUGGCCGUUGCGGGGGAGGACGGGGAGGAGGCAGUACGUUCAGGGUGUUGGGGAGGGUAACGCUUCGUGAUGUAUGUAAGACUGCACUAAAUGUAUUCACUUAUUUCCUGCCUGAACGCUGCCAUGUGACUUGAACCAGUAACCGGAUAGAGAGGUUGUAACGGUCUUGCAGGAGCUGUGGGGUAUGAGAGAUUAAUAGCAGCAGCAACAGUAGUAACAGUAGUAAUGUAAUCUAUCUACCCGUGCAGCGAGGCGAAUGAACGAGAGAAUGAGGGGGAAGAGGAGUGAGAUGUCUUCAGUUACAGAUAAAGUACUGAAUUCAUGGAGUAUUGCUGAGAUAAAAGGGUUGUGUUUUCUUUCUUCCUGUCUUCUUUCUCCCCUUCUUUCUUCCCUCCUUGUCCUCCAGUUUCCUCUUUCCAACACGCCUUCUUGUGUCUGUUCUUCCUCGUGAUGUAAUCCUGUGUGUUCUUCGUAAGUACUGCUUCAUAAUCCUUCUCCCUCCUCCUCCUUUAUCUUCACCAGUCUUUCCUUAAUCCCUACUCUCAUUCUUCUUCCUUCCUUCUCCACCUUCGUUCUCGAUUCUGUCCAAUAAUUAUCUAUCCUCCUCCUCCUCCUCCUCCUCC